CUCGUAUAAGUCCAUUGCAUACUGGAACCGGGUGGUCCCUGUAUUAAGCCUAUGGGAGUGAGAGAAUUCAGUAGUCCACGGGUUAACAACAUAAUACCCGCGAGGCUAGACUAGACUGCGCGCGCUGGCGCUAGCGCGCUCGCUGCUUAAUGCAGUAAUAGCGUAUAUAGCCAGGCGGCCAUGCCAUGCCAGGCCUUGUACGUAUGUACUACUAAGUUACGUCUACGGUAGAUCGACUGAAUUCAACCAGAAGUUGCCGGUUGCAAUCGCGAGGAUUGAAGCGUGUUCUUCGGCAACACUGAGGCAGCAUUUGAGAAGAAAUAUCCCUCAGGCUCAGCUCACCAAUUGAAGGACAAGGACAAGGGUUCUAUCCAGAGUUUCCAAGCACAAUUUUUGUAGGGUGUUUUCUGCAGCUGUAACCCAUGCAUACACACCCUAGCCUCCAGCACAGCAUUGACCACCCAGCUAAUCUCAUUCAGCAUUUUCCUUGGCAACAUUGAGGCAGCAUUUGAGAAGAAUUAACCUUCAACUCACCAACCUGCUCUUAGGCAUUUUCUUCAAGGAUGCUAUCCACAGAUGCCAAGUAAGUGGAACAGAUAUACGAGAUGUCGAAGUUGUACCACCACAAGCUAGACAAGAUUUUGAUUCCGACUAACCCAUUCUUUAAAGGUCCAUUGCCUUAGGAAAUUAAAACUUUUAUGUCUUGUAUCAAGACCCUUUUAAAGCAACAUAAUAACAAUUGUUUCAUAAAUAAAUGCCUCCUUAUAUUUUUUACAAUUUUUUGAAAACCUCUCCAAGUUGCUCGUCUAAUGGUGGACCCCGCCCUUAAAAUUCUCAGAGUUCCUCGGAAUGAUUGACCAAAGGAUUAGUGAUGUUAUAUCAAGAACGAUCUCCGCUUAGGCAAGCUACGGUGCUUGCUAGCCAGCUCUGCAGGCAUUAUGUUUUGUACACAAACAUAAACAAUUACUUUUGUUAUUAAAUAGUGUGCUAUGCAUCUUUACUUGUUAUUUAUUGUGGUGAAAUUUCACUAAUGGCCCAAUUUUAAAAAGAGAGCUAUACCAUGAGUCGAAGAAGAUCGUAAUUGAUUUGAAUGCCUGUAUAACGUGUCAACUAAAUGCAUGCUAUAAAGAAUUUCAAAGGUAAGAAAAAAAUGUUUCAUAUAUCUAAGUGACUGAAUGUUUUUCGUACUACCUUCUUCUCAAUUUAAAGAAAUAUUGAAAGUGGUAUAUCAGAGUGAAGAAACUUGUGUUUUUCCCUUUACAAGCUCUGCUCUUUCUUACUUCACUUUCAAAUUUCCUCUCUUGUUAUAUAAACAUUUAGCGAUUGCUUUACUUCACACAUUCAAGCAAUGUAUACUAUCCCUCCUAAAAAAAAGUUUGUAGAUGUGUUAACAAUAGAUAUGGCGACGAAAUGUAUCAGCAUCUCUGAAAUGCCUAAGCAUAAAAAAUGUUGGCAAUUUCUCUGAAUUUUAUUUUUUUAAUUUUUUAUGGAACAUUGUUUACAUUAAUUGCCUAGUUCUUGGCAUGCAAAUGGUGGACACUUUAUUAAUUUCUUUAUAUUUUUGUGCUGUACAUAUGUAGAGGAAUCUUGUCAUAAGCAAUCGUGUUCGUCUGCCAGAAAGUUUUUUUUUGUUUUACUCGGGAAAUUGUGAGGAUUGUUUAUUAUAUUCGUACAAUGAAUUUCAGUAUGUUAUGUUGUGUUACGUGUAAGCGACAAUUCAUUUUUAUAACAGCUCCUAUCGUCCUAGCAUUCAUUGAUAGUAGGCCUAUAUUGUGACACAUUGAGAUACCUUGAACUUGAAACUACGUUUACAUCUUUUUCGAAUUCACGAAAAUACAAAAGAAAGAUGUACAAUAAUUGUAUUCACAUUUACAACA